GGCUUCUCUGGUGUAAUGGUAGCACGCGUCCCCAUUAUGAAUGAAACGCGGGUUUAACUCCUGCCUGAGGUUA